UCCAAUUUGCAACUUGCACUCUGUACUGAAAAAGGCGCGGAGAGAUGAAGAGGAAGAGAGAAGCCAACAAGGAAGAAGCCAUGGAUAUCGUGUGGCAAACCCCAGCGAAUCCACCACUACCGCAAGAUUACAUAUUCCGAAACGGGUUUCGAUUUGUUAGACCUUACUACUUCGAAUUCAUUGCUCAUGUCAAAAAUCGUUGGGCUGGGAAAACCAUUGUUGAUUUGUUCGCUGAGGAGUUCAAAGGUCGACCUUAUGAAUAUUAUGUUAGUGCAGUGAAAUGCGGAAGGAUUCAAGUUGAUGGGGAGAUGGUACCGGUUUCAUACGUGGUUAAAUCAUCUCAAAAGAUAAGCCACUUUUUGCACAGGCAUGAACCACCUGUGAUGGCUGGCGGUGUUUCUAUUCUUCAAAACGAACCGGAUGUGCUAACUGUUUGUAAACCGGCAUCUGUCCCGGUGCAUCCAUGUGGUCAAUAUCGUAAGAACACUGUUGUUGGCAUCCUCCAAGCAGAGCAUGGAUUGGCACCUCUAUUUCCUAUUCAUCGACUGGAUCGCCUUGUCUCAGGACUUCUUAUUUUAGCCAGAAAUGCUACAAAAGCUGACAAUUUUAGGCAACAGAUUGAAGCUGGCUUAGUCCAGAAACAGUAUAUAGCGAAAGUCAUUGGAGAAUUUCCGAAGGAUGAGCUAAUUGUUGAUGCCAACAUAGACUAUAAUGCUCGAGAAGGAAGGAGCACAGCAGAGGCCAGAGAGUCUGCAAAGGGGAAGACUGCCUCUACAAAAUUUACUCGGAUUAGUACCAAUGGUACUCAAAGUAUUGUUUUAUGUGAACCAGUCACUGGCCGUACACAUCAGAUACGUGUUCAUUUACAGUAUUCGGGACAUCCAAUAGCCAAUGACAUGCUAUACAUUUCAGAGCAACCUAUUGACCGACAUAUUAAAGGCUCAGGUGCCGAUAGAUCAGCUCGUUUAUCUAAUGCUUCUCUAACAUCAAAUUUUGAUGAAGUGCUCAAUGAAUUUGAAGAAAAUUCCAACGGGGAUUUUGGUGUUGAUUCCAUGUGUACAAACUGUCCAAAUUUGGCACCCAAAGGGUAUGACGGCGAUGAAGAAGGUCUGUGGCUACAUUGUUAUCGGUACUCUGGACCGGGAUGGACGUAUGAAUGCCCGUAUCCUGAUUGGGCGAAGCUUAGCUAGACAACUUUCAUGGGACACUUCAAACAAAAAUAUUUACAACAGCACUUUAUCUGACCAUCAAACCUAAUGCCCAAUGGGAGUUUUUCGUGUGAGUUCUGCAGGGGAAGUUUCGUUUACUUAAGGGGUAGCUGGAACGUGCAAUGAAUACUGUUGUGAGUGGGGCACCCCCUAUGGAAUCUGAGGUCUACAAAGAACUCCAAUAUAUGCUGUCUAUAGUGGAGCAGAGCUUGCAUGGUGAUCUCGUUUACCGGAGAUCAACAAGGAGGGGUGGAUAGAUAUGCAGUCUAGCUCAAUGUCAUAGUCGUGAUUGUCAUGUUAUGUUUGGAUAGAUAUUAUGUAUUUUGUUAGGGCGCCCAUUUUGUUAGUUUGGAUAUGUUUUAAGUAUGUUAUGCUCUUCCGUUGGAUGUUGGAAAUGGAUAUUAUGUUAGUUUGUAACCAGAUAUUGAUCAGUUGGUUAUGUAUUGCUUAUUAUGUUGCCCAG